rnacentral:rRNA from 1 species
UACGAAGGGGGCUAGCGUUGUUCGGAUUUACUGGGCGUAAAGCGCACGUAGGCGGUUUGUUAAGUCAGAGGUGAAAUCCCGGAGCUCAACUCCGGAACUGCCUUUGAUACUGGCAAGCUAGAGUCCGGAAGAGGUAAGUGGAACUCCUAGUGUAGAGGUGGAAUUCGUAGAUAUUAGGAAGAACACCAGUGGCGAAGGCG